AGGGAUACUGAGGGUCGAAUUUGACCCUAUACAGCUUGAAAAAACGUUUUUUUUUUUAAAGUGCACUCCUGAUUUUACAUAGAAAAACAUUCAUGCAUCUCCUAGGUAAGGCAAAAAAUUACACUAACUAUAGCUUAGACUUCAACAAUGGGCAGUUGACCAGUAGUAGUACAAUUGAACAGUUGAAUUUCCUAAAAGGAUCCAGAUUUGACUCCGAUGAUACUUUAUUUGUUAGUGAUAUCUGAGUCUGAUGAAUAUGUAAUUUCUAGAAUAAUUUUAAGGUACCAAAGAAGCAACGUGGAAAUGUCCAAAGUCCAAACCAAUGGGAAGCAUCUUCUUAGUUUAACACGUCUGAGUGUUGACAAUUAUAUCCCAACAUAGGAGUAUAAAAUUUCAACAUAGACUUCUACAUAGUUCUUCUUACCAUUGUUGGUUAUUGGUUAGUCAGCUAAUUAAUCAUUGUAGUCACCACAAAUCUUUUCCUCGCAUUCUAAUUUACUUUGAAGUUUUUUUAAAAGGUGGCGUUUGGAUUUUUUUGAGAAAACUGAUUUUGAAAGUAAUUCUAGAAGAUAGGAAAUGUGUAUGAAGCAUACUUCGGAAGAGAUUAACCCAACUUUAAUCUCUUGCUGAUUAUGCGGGUCCAAGGUGGCAUAUGAGGUGUCCUCCAUGUCAUUCUGAUGAGUCACAACAAUACUCCCGUCAUGCAACGGAACCUUAUCCUCAACCUCAAGGUUCAGAGAAGAAUCAGGGCCAGGGUCAGUCAUAUCUCCAACACAACGUUUGAGCAUUGAAAUGUGGAAGACAUGAUGAAUACGAGCAGCUUCGGGUAACUCCAACUUGUAAGCAACCUCUCCAAUGCAUUUAAGAAUUUUAAAUGGGCCAAAGUAGUGCCUACCCACUUUUGGAUGUUGUUGAAAGCUUCACUAGGACUGCUGCCCAAGAUAUAUGGUGCCACGGUUGGAGGAUCUCGCCCAUAUAUAGCUCCAAAUGGGGUCAUCCCUCCAGAGGAAGUUUUCGUUUUUCUCUCCAAUGGAGGUUUCAACGCCACACAAGAUGAUAACCAGAGGUAUACCCACCAAAAUUCUCAAUUUUGAUGGGCCCUCUUUCUCGUUGCAAAUAACACAAACGGAGUCGGAUUUUGCAGGUUUAUCAGCAACUACAGCUUCAGAGAGAAGAACUAAAUUACACAAAGACAAAUCACUACAAAAAAAAUCAACUUUAGCGACGGACGAAUUCCGUAGCUAAAUAGUGUAUUUUCGUCGCUAAACGGGUUUAGCAACGGAAUAGCGACAGAUUUGUAUCCGUCGCUACUUUGCUCGUAGCUAACCACUUACUAACGAAAAAAAUUGAAUCCGUCGGUAAGGUAGCGACGAAUUAGCUACGGUUCGUAUCUGUUGCUACUCUUAGCGACAAACAUGUCCGUCGCAAAUAUCAUCAAUUUUGUCGCCAAAUCGACAAGUCAUUUCGUCGUCGGUAUUAAUUGGUGACGAAUUUUUUCUGUCGCUAAUGUUGUUGAGACAUAUUUGCCUUUCUUUUGGCGACGAAUUUAUUUUGUCGCAACCUGUUAUUCUAUAUUAGUUAUAGCUACGAAAAAAAUUCGUCGCAAA